rfam:Oryza meridionalis cultivar OR44 (W2112) chromosome 5, whole genome shotgun sequence.
UUUAAGUGUAGUCAUGAGUUUCCGCGCACUAUUUUGAUCGUUCGUCUUAUUUGAAAUUUUUUUAUAAUUAGUAUUUUUGUUGUUAUGAUAUGAUAAAACAUGAAAAAUACUUUACUCGUGACUUGUGUUUUAUUUCUUUUAAAAAAAAUUUUCAAAUAAGACGGACGAUCAAAGUUAGGUGCGGAAAACCAUGGCUGCACUUAAA